rnacentral:rRNA from 1 species
AGCUCCAAUAGCGUAUAUUAAAGUUGUUGCGGUUAAAAAGCUCGUAGUUGGAUUUCUUCUCUUGUCAGCCGGUCCUCACUUCGUGAGAGUAUCUGGUCAGACUCGAGAAUCCUCUCGGGGAACAUCGUUGCGCUUGAUUGCGUGACAUGGGUGCCGAGACUUUUACUUUGAGGAAAUUGGAGUGUUCACGGCAGGCAAUCGCCUUGUACACAUUAGCAUGGAAUAAUAAUAUAGGAUCUCGAUUCUAUUUUGUUGGUUUCUAGAAUCUUGAUAAUGAUUAAUAGGGACAAUUGGGGGCAUUCGUAUUAACACGUCAGAGGUGGAAUUCUUGGAUUGUGUUACGACGAACUACUGCGAAAGCAUUUGCCAAGGAUGUUUUCA